UGCCAGCAGCCGCGGUAAUACGGAGGGUGCAAGCGUUGUUCGGAAUUACUGGGCUUAAAGGGUGCGUAGGCGGUGCCAUAAGUCAGGUGUGAAAUCCCUCAGCUUAACUGAGGAACUGCGCCCGAUACUGUGGCACUAGAGGGAGACAGAGGUGAGCGGAACUGAUGGUGGAGCGGUGAAAUGCGUUGAUAUCAUCAGGAACACCAGUGGCGAAAGCGGCUCGCUGGGUCUCUUCUGACGCUCAUGCACGAAAGCUAGGGUAGCGAACGGGAUUAGAUA
rnacentral:rRNA from 1 species